rnacentral:rRNA from 1 species
CCUACGGGUGGCAGCAGUGAGGAAUAUUGGUCAAUGGACGAGAGUCUGAACCAGCCAAGUAGCGUGAAGGAUGACUGCCCUAUGGGUUGUAAACUUCUUUUAUAAAGGAAUAAAACGAGGCACGUGUGCCUUUUUGCAUGUACUUUAUGAAUAAGGAUCGGCUAACUCCGUGCCAGCAGCCGCGGUAAUACGGAGGAUCCGAGCGUUAUCCGGAUUUAUUGGGUUUAAAGGGAGCGUAGAUGGGUUGUUAAGUCAGUUGUGAAAUUUUGCGGCUCAACCGUAAAAUUGCAAUUGAUACUGGCAGUCUUGAGUACAGUUGAGGUAGGCGGAAUUCGUGGUGUAGCGGUGAAAUGCUUAGAUAUCACGAAGAACUCCGAUUGCGAAGGCAGCUUACUAAACUGCCACUGACAUUGAUGCUCGAAAGUGUGGGUAUCAAACAGGAUUAGAUACCCCAGUAGUC